rnacentral:rRNA from 1 species
ACGGCCCACCAAGGCGAAGACGGGCAGCCGGACAGAGAGGACGCCCGGCCACACUGGAAUUGAGACACGGUCCAGACACCUACGGGGGGCAGCAGUCGAGAAUCAUUCACAAUGGGGGAAACCCUGAUGGUGCGACGCCGCGUGGGGGAAUGAAGGUCUUCGGAUUGUAAACCCCUGUCAUGUGGGAGCAAAUUAAAAAGAUAGUACCACAAGAGGAAGAGACGGCUAACUCUGUGCCAGCAGCCGCGGUAAUACAGAGGUCUCAAGCGUUGUUCGGAAUCACUGGGCGUAAAGCGUGCGUAGGCGGUUUCGUAAGUCGUGUGUGAAAGGCGGGGGCUCAACCCCCGGACUGCACAUGAUACUGCGAGACUAGAGUAAUGGAGGGGGAACCGGAAUUCUCGGUGUAGCAGUGAAAUGCGUAGAUAUCGAGAGGAACACUCGUGGCGAAGGCGGGUUCCUGGACAUUAACUGACGCUGAGGCACGAAGGCCAGGGGAGCGAAAAAAAUUAGAUUCCCCUGUUGUCCUGGCAGUAAAACGGUGCACGCUUGGUGUGCGGGGAAUCGACCCCCUGCGUGCCGGAGCUAACGCGUUAAGCGUGCCGCCUGGGGAGUACGGUCGCAAGAUUAAAACUCAAAGAAAUUGACGGGGACCCGCACAAGCGGUGGAGUAUGUGGCUUAAUUCGAUGCAACGCGAAGAACCUUACCUGGGCUUGACAUGUAAUGAACAACAUGUGAAAGCAUGCGACUCUUCGGAGGCGUUACACAGGUGCUGCAUGGCCGUCGUCAGCUCGUGUCGUGAGAUGUUUGGUUAAGUCCAGCAACGAGCGCAACCCCUGUUGCCAGUUACCAGCACGUAAAGGUGGGGACUCUGGCGAGACUGCCCAGAUCAACUGGGAGGAAGGUGGGGACGACGUCAGGUCAGUAUGACCCUUAUGCCCAGGGCUGCACACGUACUACAAUGCCCAGUACAGAGGGGGCCGAAGCCGCGAGGCGGAGGAAAUCCUAAAAACUGGGCCCAGUUCGGACUGUAGGCUGCAACCCGCCUACACGAAGCCGGAAUCGCUAGUAAUGGCGCAUCAGCUACGGCGCCGUGAAUACGUUCCCGGGUCUUGCACA